rnacentral:rRNA from 1 species
AAGUCGAACGAGAAACUGAUUAGCUUGCUUUGAAGUUUCUAGUGGCGGACGGGUUAGUAACACGUGAGCAACCUGCCUUAAAGUGGGGAAUAGUCCUGGGAAACUGGGUUUAAUACCGCAUGUGCCCUACGGGGUAAAGGUGGCUUCGGCCAUCGCUUUAAGAUGGGCUCGCGUCCUAUCAGCUAGUUGGUGAGGUAAAGGCUCACCAAGGCAACGACGGGUAGUUGGUCUGAGAGGAUGAUCAGCAACACUGGAACUGAGACACGGUCCAGACACCUACGGGUGGCAGCAGUCGAGAAUCAUUCACAAUGGGGGAAACCCUGAUGGUGCAACGCCGCGUGGAGGAUGAAGGCCCUAGGGUCGUAAACUCCUGUCAUCUAGGAGUAAGGCAUAAGGGUUAAUAGCCGCUUAUGUUUGAUAGUACUAGAAGAGGAAGGGACGGCUAACUUCGUGCCAGCAGCCGCGGUAAUACGAAGGUCCCGAGCGUUAUUCGGAAUCACUGGGCGUAAAGGGAGCGUAGGCGGCGUGGUAAGUCAGAUGUGAAAGCCCAGGGCUCAACCCUGGAACUGCAUUCGAUACUGCCAUGCUAGAGUAGUGGAGGGGUAAUCGGAAUUUUCGGUGUAGCAGUGAAAUGCGUGGAUAUCGAAAGGAAGACCAAUGGCGAAGGCAGAUUACUGGACACUUACUGACGCUGAGGCUCGAAGGCUAGGGGAGCGAAAGGGAUUAGAUACCCCUGUAGUCCUAGCAGUAAACGAUGUGCGCUUGGUGUGGGAAGGUUCGACCCUUUCCGUGCCGGAGCUAACGCGUUAAGCGCACCGCCUGGGGAGUACGGUCGCAAGACUAAAACUCAAAGAAAUUGACGGGGACCCGCACAAGCG